CCUCCUUAUAACGAAGUUACACUUACAGAGUGUUCACACAAAUAAUUAAUUACGAAAUAUGAGAAGAGAUGCUGAAGGCCUGUAGCUCAGCUGGUUAGAGCGCACCCCUGAUAAGGGUGAGGUCGGCAGUUCAAGUCUGCCCAGGCCUACCAUUGCCUGGUUAGAUUAAGUAACACUCAGUAUGGGGCUAUAGCUCAGCUGGGAGAGCGCUUGAUUUGCAUUCAAGAGGUCCGCGGUUCGAUCCCGCGUAGCUCCACCAUACUGAAACACUCUCUUAAAUAAAACUCUAAAAAAUACACAUUUACACAAAUGUCUAUUCUUUAGAGUCUUUAAUGACUCAUGCUCUUUAACAAUUUGGAAAGCUGAUAAAAAUAAGGUAAACAUUAUUGUUUUAUUUUAAUUUGGUUAUUCAACAAUUUUAAAAAAAUAAAUUUUUGAUUAUUCACUGUAAGAGAAAAACUUCAAAGCCGUUAUUUUNUGUCAAAAACC
rnacentral:tRNA from 1 species